AUGAACGCUGGCGGCGUGCCUAAUACAUGCAAGUCGAGCGAACGGACGAGAAGCUUGCUUCUCUGAUGUUAGCGGCGGACGGGUGAGUAACACGUGGAUAACCCACCUAUAAGACUGGGAUAACUUCGGGAAACCGUAGCUAAUACCGGAUAAUAUUUUGAACCGCAUGGUUCAAAAGUGAAAGACGGUCUUGCUGUCACUUAUAGAUGGAUCCGCGCUGCACUAGCUAGUUGGUAAGGUAACGGCUUACCAAGGCAACGAUGCAUAGCCGACCUGAGAGGGUGAUCGGCCACACUGGAACUGAGACACGGUCCAGACUCCUACGGGAGGCAGCAGUAGGGAAUCUUCCGCAAUGGGCGAAAGCCUGACGGAGCAACGCCGCGUGAGUGAUGAAGGUCUUCGGAUCGUAAAACUCUGUUAUUAGGGAAGAACAUAUGUGUAAGUAACUGUGCACAUCUUGACGGUACCUAAUCAGAAAGCCACGGCUAACUACGUG
rnacentral:rRNA from 1 species